rnacentral:rRNA from 1 species
GAUGAACGCUAGCUACAGGCUUAACACAUGCAAGUCGAGGGGUAACGAGAGGAAAGCUUGCUUUCCUUGUCGACGACCGGCGCACGGGUGAGUAACGCGUAUCCAACCUGCCCCCAACUAGGGAAUAACCUUGCGAAAGUAAGACUAAUACCCUAUAAUUUCCUCAGAUGACAUCUGACGAGGAAUAAAGAUUUAUCGGUUGUGGAUGGGGAUGCGUCUGAUUAGCUUGUUGGCGGGGUAACGGCCCACCAAGGCAACGAUCAGUAGGGGUUCUGGGAGGAAGGUACCCAACAUGGGAACAGAGACACGGUCCAAACUCCUACGGGAGGCAGCAGUGAGGAAUAUUGGGCAAUGGGCGGAAGCCUGAACCAGCCAAGUAGCGUGCAGGAUGACGGCCCUAUGGGUUGUAAACUGCUUUUAUACAGGAAUAAAGUUAGCCACGUGUGGUUAUUUGAAGGUACUGUAUGAAUAAGGACCGGCUAAUUCCGUGCCAGCAGCCGCAGUAA